CCCUUAGAUGUUCUGGGCCGCACGCGCGCUACACUGACGGAGGCAGCGAGCAUGUCCUUCGCCGAGAGGUGUGGGGAAUCUUGUGAGUCCCCGUCGUGCUGGGGAUAGAUGGUUGCAAUUGUCGAUCUUGAACGAGGAAUUCCUAGUAAGCGCGAGUCAUCAGCUCGCGCUGAUUACGUCCCUGCCCUUUGUACACACCGCCCGUCGCUACUACCGAUUGAAUCGUUUAGCGAGAAUUUUGGAUCGGAGCCCUGGUGGGCAGCGAUGUCCGCCUGGGAUUUACCGAGAAAUCAUUCCAGCUUGCCGAUUUAGAGGAAGUAAAAGUCGUAACA
rnacentral:rRNA from 1 species